rnacentral:rRNA from 2 species
CACGCCGUAAACGAUGAGUGCUAAGUGUUAGGGGGUUUCCGCCCCUUAGUGCUGCAGCUAACGCAUUAAGCACUCCGCCUGGGGAGUACGGUCGCAAGACUGAAACUCAAAGGAAUUGACGGGGGCCCGCACAAGCGGUGGAGCAUGUGGUUUAAUUCGAAGCAACGCGAAGAACCUUACCAGGUCUUGACAUCCCGUUGACCACUGUAGAGAUAUAGUUUCCCCUUCGGGGGCAACGGUGACAGGUGG